CUGACGGCUGGGCAGGCUCAAGCGAUGGUCUCGUCUGUGGACGUGAUGACGACUUGGACAACUUUUCUGAUGUCCCCAUCUCAUGUGGGAACGACAUCUGUUCAGUGGACAACUGCCCUGGAAUCCACAACCCUGACCAACUUGACAUGGACGGCGAUGGGAAAGGGGACGCCUGUGAUGACGAGGACAUGACAGUGAUGAAGUCUUGAACGCCCAGGCCUAUUGAACACGGUGGACGAACACAAGCAGACAAGAGAAAGGCAUUUUCUACAUCAUUGCUCAUUAUUCAGCACUAGUAAACAGACGCAACGCUACAAAGACAACCAGAAGAGACUGCAACUGCUCGCUAGCUCGCUUAUUCUUCAAAUGCUAAUAAAAAUCUAAAA